CGUUCCCGGGCCUUGUACACACCGCCCGUCACACCAUGGGAGUGGGUUGUACCAGAAGUAGUUAGAAUAACCUUAGGGGGUUCGAUUACCACGGUAUGGUUCAUGACUGGGGUG
rnacentral:rRNA from 1 species